CUACACACACACACACACACACACACACACACAGAGUAAUGCUCUACCAGCUAUCUGGAUGUCCUUUAAUCCAGUCAAGUUGACACCUAAAAUUAACCAUCACA